UGGGUAGACAUGAGCAAUCAGAAUCGAUAUAAUGCAUCCUUCAUUUCAGUACCUCCUAGGUCACCCAUCUCUGGCUUCAACAUACAAAACUUGUGUCAGAUACUCUUCAUGGUUAAGGUAUUCCCACAUGGUACAGAGAAGAACUUUCAAAAAGAUUAUGGAAUUUGGGCACCAACAUCAUUUCCAACCAUGAAGGUCUUGCACAGGACGUGGUGAUCAGUCAUCCGUCUCGUGCUGAAAUCUCCUGUUACAUGGAUCUUCUGGCAACUCCAUUUUCUCUUCAUUUUUUCACAAGACAUACGAGAGGAGCCCAGUACCUGCUGCGCUGACACACUGCAACCACAGCACUUCAGCCCUGGGCUGGCAGACAAUUUUGUCUGAAGUGGCUCAAAAGCAGAUGUAUUCAAGUGUGUCUUUUUCUAAGCUGCUUUGAUUAUGACAUCUAUGAAUUUGUUUUCUCCCUGUUAUUAUGCACUAUAAAAUCCCACCGUAUCUUUACUUCCUGUUUUAAAAUGAUUAGAAGUCUAAUGUAUUUUGAUAACAUGAAAUGUGCCAGCUGGGAUGAAAUGAAAUUUUGCUUUGAUUCAAGCAUUUCUCUCUAUUAAUCUUCAUACUAUGUUUUAGAGAUGUCUGUUUGGUUUUAGUUAUAUUUACCUAAGUUGUGCAUAAUAUGUGCUGUGUUUGACUCUCCAUUCACAUCCACAUGUGUAAAUUUAGAAUAACUGCUGCAAAGCCAAGGAAAUUAUACCUUAGAUCCAGUUGUAAGAAGAGGAACUGCAGCUUUGAGCUUGGGUCUUUAAUCACAUUCGCAUCCAGUGGAUUUGCCUUUUAUAUCGACUAGUGCAUUUCACUGACAGAUAUUUAUAAUGUAACGCAGUGAUGUAAGCAGGUGCACAGAACAGAUUACAAAUAGUAGUUGUAGAAUUAAAAAUAAAUCCUCCUGUAGCAAGAAUAUUUCUUUACUUCACAUUCAAUCUCCCAUAUGAUUUUGCUCAGAUUUCUGCUGACAAAACUCUGAGUUUAUAUGUAAAUAUUAGAACAUGUUCAAGAUUA
rnacentral:lncRNA from 1 species